GCCUUCGUCGCAUAAUGGUAUUGCAGCGGAUUGCUAAUCCGCGCCCUCCGGGGCUCCAGGGUUCGAUUCCCUGCUGUGGGCG
rnacentral:tRNA from 1 species